UAAGGGCGCACGGUGGAUGCCUUGGCACUAGAAGCCGAUGAAGGACGUUACUAACGACGAUAUGCUUUGGGGAGCUGUAAGUAAGCUUUGAUCCAGAGAUUUCCGAAUGGGGAAACCCAGCAUGAGUUAUGUCAUGUUAUCGAUAUGUGAAUACAUAGCAUAUCAGAAGGCACACCCGGAGAACUGAAACAUCUUAGUACCCGGAGGAAGAGAAAGAAAAUUCGAUUCCCUUAGUAGCGGCGAGCGAAACGGGAAGAGCCCAAACCAACAAGCUUGCUUGUUGGGGUUGUAGGACACUCUAUACGGAGUUACAAAGGACGACAUUAGACGAAUCAUCUGGAAAGAUGAAUCAAAGAAGGUAAUAAUCCUGUAGUCGAAAAUGUUGUCUCUCUUGAGUGGAUCCUGAGUACGACGGAGCACGUGAAAUUCCGUCGGAAUCUGGGAGGACCAUCUCCUAAGGCUAAAUACUCUCUAGUGACCGAUAGUGAACCAGUACCGUGAGGGAAAGGUGAAAAGCACCCCGGAAGGGGAGUGAAAUAGAACCUGAAACCGUGUGCUUACAAGUAGUCAGAGCCCGUUAAUGGGUGAUGGCGUGCCUUUUGUAGAAUGAACCGGCGAGUUACGAUUUGAUGCAAGGUUAAGCAGUAAAUGUGGAGCCGUAGCGAAAGCGAGUCUGAAUAGGGCGUUUAGUAUUUGGUCGUAGACCCGAAACCAGGUGAUCUACCCUUGGUCAGGUUGAAGUUCAGGUAACACUGAAUGGAGGACCGAACCGACUUACGUUGAAAAGUGAGCGGAUGAACUGAGGGUAGCGGAGAAAUUCCAAUCGAACCUGGAGAUAGCUGGUUCUCUCCGAAAUAGCUUUAGGGCUAGCCUCAAGUGAUGAUUAUUGGAGGUAGAGCACUGUUUGGACGAGGGGCCCCUCUCGGGUUACCGAAUUCAGACAAACUCCGAAUGCCAAUUAAUUUAACUUGGGAGUCAGAACAUGGGUGAUAAGGUCCGUGUUCGAAAGGGAAACAGCCCAGACCACCAGCUAAGGUCCCAAAAUAUAUGUUAAGUGGAAAAGGAUGUGGCGUUGCCCAGACAACUAGGAUGUUGGCUUAGAAGCAGCCAUCAUUUAAAGAGUGCGUAAUAGCUCACUAGUCGAGUGACACUGCGCCGAAAAUGUACCGGGGCUAAACAUAUUACCGAAGCUGUGGAUUGUCCUUUGGACAAUGGUAGGAGAGCGUUCUAAGGGCGUUGAAGCAU
rnacentral:rRNA from 1 species